GGCAGCCUUGGCUCAGGCAUAUCACAGGGCAGUUAGCAAAAUGGAAGGAUUUCAGGCCACAGGAAUCUAAACCUUGAUUUACUCACAUCAUACAUCCUCUGACCAUUUGCCUUAAAAAAAUAAUUUGCUAAAGGAUCCGAAACCUGGUCAGAACCUGGCCGGUGUGGAUUUGGACUGGACCAGUGGCUUCACAUGCUCCUCUGUGCCGAAGGGGAGUGCCCCUCAUUCCCACAGCUGCAAGACUCUGUGCUGUGCUGGUUUUUAUUUAUUUAGGUAAUCUCUACACCCAACAUGGAGGUUGAACUCACCACCCCAAGAUCAAGAGUUGCAUACUCUUUCAACUGAGCCAGCCAGACACCCCUCUUCAGUUCUACUACAGUAUGACAAAAGAUUAUGUGUGUGGGUCAAAACGGAGGGAAAUCUAACUUGGAAGCACAAUGUGACUAGUGCCAAGAUGGUGUGUUAGCACAGGUCCAGAAAAGACCCUUAAUGAGCUGGUCCCAGUGGUGGGGUUAAUGUGGGAAGGCAAAAGGCAUUCUCGUCUGGCCCUCACAAAAUGGACUCUCUUGGGAGUCACUGGAGUCAAAGUAAUGUCCCACCAAGUUUAAAAGGGAGAAUAUCCAGACUGGUCCCUCCGGAGUUGUACAAACUUUUGAUCUUUUUGCUAGAUUUCACAAACAAGGAAGAAAGUUUACAAAAGAAAAACCUAAUGAAAGAGACACACAGAGAAAGACAGAAGCAUGCCCUCCUUUCCAAACACACAUCUACCCAGAGACUACAUUCCCCAAUGACAACUUUGAAAGCUGUGAUCUCAUGGUGGGGAGCAUUUGUCAUGCUAAGCAAAACAGAAAACAAGUUUUGAAAAACAAUCACAGUUCAAUGUAGGAACUGAGUCAUGUGCCCCAGAGUUCACUAUAAACUUGGGAAAACACCACUCCCCAACGGGGCAGGAAAUUCCUCAUUAGGAAGCCAAAGCAUACUGUAAAUUAGCUCUCCUUCUACGCCAUAGGAUGGUGGGUGACCUCCCUGGCCCCUUAAAGCUCUCAGCAGGAGCUCCUGCCACUGCCUCUGUGGAAAAGGCCUGAAUUAGGGAACAGAAGACCUCAGAAGACUUACAAGUUCAUCUGAAAGACUGGACAAGCUUCCUAUAAGCAUGACUGCAGUUAUAGAAGGGAAGAGGCAGUGACCUGGAUUCAAAUCACAGCUCACAAAACUACUUCCUAGCUUUGUGACCUUGGUAAUUUUGUUUUCACUUCCCUCACCUGUAAAAUGGGAGAAUAACAGUUUCUACCUUACCGGUCACUGUGAGGAAUAAACAAGUUGAUAUAUGGAGA